rnacentral:rRNA from 1 species
GACAGAGGGUGCAAACGUUGCUCGGAAUCACUGGGCGUAAAAGGCGCGUAGGCGGGUAGGUAAGUCAGAUGUGAAAUCCCUGGGCUCAACCCAGGAACUGCAUUUGAAACUCCCUUUCUUGAGUGUCGGAGAGGAAAGCGGAAUUCCUGGUGUAGAGGUGAAAUUCGUAGAUAUCAGGAGGAACACCGGUGGCGAAGGCGGCUUUCUGGACGACAACUGACGCUGAGACGCGAAAGCGUGGGGAGCAAACAGG